rnacentral:rRNA from 1 species
GACGAACGCUGGCGGCGUGCCUAAUACAUGCAAGUCGAGCGCAGGAAAUCGACGGAACCCUUCGGGGGGAAGUCGACGGAAUGAGCGGCGGACGGGUGAGUAACACGUAAAGAACCCGCCCUCAGGUCUGGGAUAACCACGAGAAAUCGGGGCUAAUACCGGAUGGGUCAUCGGACCGCAUGGUCCGAGGAUGAAAGGCGCUUCGGCGUCGCCUGGGGAUGGCUUUGCGGUGCAUUAGCUAGUUGGUGGGGUAAUGGCCCACCAAGGCGACGAUGCAUAGCCGACCUGAGAGGGUGAUCGGCCACACUGGGACUGAGACACGGCCCAGACUCCUACGGGAGGCAGCAGUAGGGAAUCUUCCACAAUGGACGAAAGUCUGAUGGAGCAACGCCGCGUGAACGAUGAAGGCCUUCGGGUCGUAAAGUUCUGUUGUAAGGGAAGAACAAGUGCCGCAGGCAAUGGCGGCCCCUUGACGGUACCUUGCGAGAAAGCCACGGCUAACUACGUGCCAGCCGCCGCGGUAAAAC